rnacentral:rRNA from 1 species
AUUGAACGCUGGCGGCAGGCCUAACACAUGCAAGUCGAACGAGUGGCGGACGGGUGAGUAAUGUCUGGGAAACUGCCUGAUGGAGGGGGAUAACUACUGGAAACGGUAGCUAAUACCGCAUACCAUCAGAUGUGCCCAGAUGGGAUUAGCUAGUGGGUGGGGUAACGGCUCACCUAGGCGACGAUCUCUAUCUGGGAUGAGAGGAUGAACAGCCAAACUGUAAUGGAGAAAAGGGCCAGACUCCUACGGGAGGAAGCAGUGGGGAAUAUUGCACAAUGGGCGCAAGCAUGAUGCAGCCAUUCCGCGUGUAUGAAGAAGGCCUUCGGGUUGUAAAGUACUUGCAGCGGGGAGGCGUUACACGCAGAAGAAGCACCGGCUAACUCCGUGCCAGCAGCCGCGGUAAUUC